rnacentral:rRNA from 1 species
UCCAGACUCCUACGGGAGGCAGCAGUGAGGAAUAUUGGUCAAUGGGCGGGAGCCUGAACCAGCCAAGCCGCGUGAGGGAAGAAGGUACAGCGUAUCGUAAACCUCUUUUGUCAGGGAACAAAGGCGGGGACUAGUCCCCGGAUGAGGGUACCUGAAGAAAAAGCAUCGGCUAACUCCGUGCCAGCAGCCGCGGUAAUACGGAGGAUGCGAGCGUUAUCCGGAUUUAUUGGGUUUAAAGGGUGCGUAGGCGGGACGGUAAGUCAGCGGUAAAAAUGCGGAGCUCAACGCCGUCGAGCCGUUGAAACUGCCGUUCUUGAGUGAGCGAGAAGUAUGCGGAAUGCGUGGUGUAGCGGUGAAAUGCAUAGAUAUCACGCAGAACUCCGAUUGCGAAGGCAGCAUACCGGCGCGCAACUGACGCUCAUGCACGAAAGCGUGGGUAUCGAACAGGAUUAGAUACCCUUGUAU